rnacentral:lncRNA from 1 species
UGGAGGCGAAGAGAUCAGGAGCAGUAAAGGAACACUCUCUUCCCCAGUCAGCUGGGAUACGGAUUUUGUAAGGCCUAGGGACUUUGUCUUUGGAGGUCCUGUCUCCAUAAGGCUUCCCAAAACAAAGAAUGUUCAGAUUGGACUGGCCUUAAAAUGCAGUAUUUAAAACAGCAACAUGUCUGACAGAUCCGAGAAAUGAAAUACGUCCAUUUCUUUUGGCAAGGAGCAGAAGGCAACAUAAAGCAGCUGCAAGAAUUAAUUCAUGGAGAUAGUUGACAUUUUCGAGCUGACUGCCUCUUAGAGAAAAUGAUGUCAUUCUCCAGCAGCCUAAUGACAGUCAUCAGCCUGAGAGGACACAUGCUAAUAAGACUAUCACCAGCAAAGAAUUUUCUGAGCAAAUGUGUACUGGAGACCUUCUGAGGAACCCACUAGAGCCUGCACAUCCCCUUUUCCUAGCAAGGUCAACUGGAAAACAGUGUUCUUUCCAAGAUAACGUGCAACUUUCCUUUGGAAUGAUCAGCAGAAUGUCAAAUAAGGAAAGGACAUGUAGAGUUCAUGGGAGGAGACAUUACUUCUGGCUGCAGAAUUAUGGAGGCUUUAUGGGAGACGCCGUAUAUUUUAUCUGUGCGCCUUGAUCACGUGUCUGACCAUGGACAGAGAAACCAGCCUAAUGAGCCUUCUUUACAGGUGACCCUCUAGCCCUUGGUGAACAUCUUGUUUUUAUUCUUUCUUAAUUCCAACACUUAUUCUUGACAACUUUACAAAUGAACAAAUCUUAUUUACUAAAUUGUUGAUGUAGUUUUUGUCUAACACAGGGCUGAUUUUACCCUUGAGAGACGGACACAAGGCUUCAUUUAGGGGAGGAUUAGGUUUGAUGUUUAUUCACUGCACGAGGCAGAUUGGUUUUAGAGACAUGGGUUACAGUCUUGGCUUUUCCUGUUACUGCUUUUGGGUCUUUAGAUGAACAUUUUGCUUUCUCUAGACUCCUUCUUUAUAUAUAAAACAACUACAUCUUUGGACCUAUAAUAACUG